rnacentral:rRNA from 1 species
AACGAACGCUGGCGGCGUGCCUAACACAUGCAAGUCGUACGAGAAAUCUGGAGCAAUCUGGAGAGUACAGUGGCGCACGGGUGAGUAACGCGUGGGUAACCUACCCUUGGGUUGGGGAUAACUCCUCGAAAGGGGUGCUAAUACCGGAUAACAUUUCGAUCUCCACGGGGAUUGAAAUCAAAGGUGGCCUCUGCAUGCAAGCUACUGCCCGGGGAUGGGCCCGCGUACCAUUAGCUAGUUGGUAGGGUAAUGGCCUACCAAGGCCGCGAUGGUUAGCUGGUCUGAGAGGAUGGCCAGCCACACUGGAACUGAGACACGGUCCAGACCCCUACGGGAGGCAGCAGUGGGGAAUCUUGCGCAAUGGGGGAAACCCUGACGCAGCAACGCCGCGUGGGUGAUGAAGGCCUUCGGGUCGUAAAGCCCUGUCAGGUGGAAAGAAACCCAUCGGUGCAAACAGCACCGGUGAUUGACGGUACCACCGGAGGAAGCACCGGCUAACUCCGUGCCAGCAGCCGCAGUAAAAC